rnacentral:rRNA from 1 species
AGAGUUUGAUCAUGGCUCAGGAUGAACGCUGGCUGUGUGCCUAAUACAUGCAUGUCGAACGAAGUAGCUUGCUACUUAGUGGCGAAUGGGUGAGUAACACGUACUUAACCUACCUCUAAGAUGGGGAUAACAAUUGGAAACAAUUGCUAAUACCGAAUACUUAAAUAGAAGGCAUCUUUUAUUUAUAAAAGGAGCGUUUGCUCCGCUUGGAAAUGGGAGUGCGGAACAUUAGUUAGUUGGUGGGGUAAAAGCUCACCAAGACAAUGAUGUUUAGCAGGGCUGAGAAGCUGAACUGCCACACUGGGACUGAGAUACGGCCCAGACUCCUACGGGAGGCAGCAGUAAGGAAUAUUCCACAAUGAGCGAAAGCUUGAUGGAGCGACACAGCGUGAAGGAUGAAGGUCUUUGGAUUGUAAACUUCUGUUAUAAGGAAAGAAUAGCUAGUGUAGGAAAUGACAUUAGUUUGACGGUACCUUAUUAGAAAGCGAUGGCUAACUAUGUGCCAGCAGCCGCGGUAAUGCAUAGGUCGCAAGCGUUAUCCGGAAUUAUUGGGUGUAAAGCGUCCGCAGGUGGUUUGUUAAGUCUGAAGUUAAAUACCAGAGCUCAACUUUGGCCCGCUUCAGAUACUGGCAAUCUAGAAUUACAGAGAGGUUAACGGAAUUUCAUGUGGAGCGGUGAAAUGCGUAGAUAUAUGAAAGAACACCAAUUUGGCGAAGGCAGUUAACUGGCUGUAUAUUGACACUCAAGGACUAAAGCGUGGGGAGCAAACAGGAUUAGAUACCCUGGUAGUCCACGCCCUAAACGAUGAUCAUUAGUUGGUAGAGAUUUUACUAACGCAGCUAACGCAUUAAAUGAUCCACCUGAGUAGUAUGCUCGCAAGAGUGAAACUUAAAGGAAUUGACGGGGACCCGCACAAGCGGUGGAGCAUGUGGUUUAAUUUGAAGAUACGCGGAGAAACCCUUACCCACUUCUUGACAUCCCUUGCAAAGCUAUAGAGAUAUAGUGGAGGUUAUCAAGGUGACAGAUGGUGCAUGGUUGUCGUCAGCUCGUGUCGUGAGAUGUUAGGUUAAGUCCUGCAACGAGCGCAACCCUUGUCUUUAGUUACUAACAGAUAAUGCUGAGAACUCUAGAGAGACUGCCUAGGUAACUAGGAGGAAGGUGGGGAUGACGUCAAAUCAUCAUGCCUCUUACGAGUGGGGCGACACACGUGCUACAAUGGUGAGUACAAAGAGAAGCAAACUGGUGACAGGGAGCAAAUCUCAAAAAGCUCAUCUCAGUUCGGAUUGAAGUCUGCAACUCGACUUCAUGAAGUCGGAAUCGCUAGUAAUCGCAGAUCAGCCAUGCUGCGGUGAAUACGUUCUCGGGUCUUGUACAGACCGCCCGUCACACCAUGGGAGCUGAUAAUGCCCAAAGUUGGUUAACUAACCUGAAAAAUUUAUUUUUAAGGAAGAAACUGCCUAAGGUAGGAUCGGUGACUGGGGUGAAGUCGUAACAAGGUAUCCCUACGAGAACGUGCGGAUGGAUCACCUCCUU